rnacentral:lncRNA from 1 species
UCUUGCAAUUCAUGUCAUUGUAGCUUAGCAGUACUUUAUUGCAAUACAUUAUUUUCAUGUCAAUCAAUGUGUGUGUCUUCAUCUUUCUCAUCAGAAAUUGCCACAUGAUGAAGUAUUAAAAAAAUCUGUGAUAUCGAUGGAUGGAUAGAAUAGUUGUUGAGUUGAUCCACAAGAGUUAAGACGUUAGGUCCCUUAUCUUAAUGUGAGAAUUGACUGAAUCACGAAAUGGAUAGCCUCGUAAAUCAAAGACACAUUAUGGCAUUAAUUUUUUUUUUUAAGUAGCCUAGUGGCUAGAAAAUCAACCUUAAAAUGAAUAAAUGAAGUGUUCCGGGUUCGAACCCGGGCUCUUUCACAUAUAGUGUGAUGUCCCCUGCCAACUGAGCUAAGCUCACAGAGACAUGCAUUCAAUAUCUAUUUAUAAACAAUAAAUAAGAUAAUUCACGCUAAUCAAUCGUUAGUUGGUUUAGUGAUGAUUGACGCUGAAUUUGGUAACGAUGAUUACGGUUCGAUCUUCCACAAAAAAUAGUUUGAUUGAUGCUGAAUUUGGUAGGGAGGAUCACAGUUCGAUCCCCCACGACUGACCCACCGA